CUAAAGCUGUUGAUCAUAGGAAGGUUGGUACUGUUGUUCAUAUGUUCUGUUCUUUUACUGCUUUGUUUUCUGUCUAAUCCUAUUGAUUUUUGAGAGAUGACAGCUACCCCCAGUUAUUAGUCUCCCCUUUUGUUAGCGCGUGUUUGAAGAACACACUGACUGCCUUCGCUGCAGGGAGCUGGCACAUGUACAGAACACAUCUCGUUGACCCCCUCCUGUCUACCCCGAGACCUUCCCUGUUACGAUUAUGUGAUUUUCUUUCCAUUAUUCCUAUUAAUUUUGUUUCCUAUAUUUUGUCGCACAGGGCACCUGUGUUCCAGGCUUGGUGGCCUCCCGGUGAGCUGGAGGAAUCUCACCCCAUGCAUGUGCUCCUGGAGGAGGUGCCCAGGCCUCUCUCCCAUCAGACACUGCCAGCCUUGUGGCUGUGGCCGGGCCUCAAGCUCUGGCAGGGAGACUUCGAUACUAUUUGCACGACCCACUUAACCCCAGGGGUCCUCUGCUGCCCAGUGAGCUUGGUUCACAACAUGGUGACUCGGGGCCAGUGUGCUUGGCUGGUGCCCACCGUGCUGGGUCCGAGAAGUUGCCUUGGAAACCUCAGGCUUUGCAGAGACUGCUCCGCUGCUUCUCUCAGCCUGGGGCCAAACACAAGAUCCAGACGGAACCUCGGAUGCACCACUGAGCAGAUAAAGUGGGUCCAGAGGCCAAACCCCUCCCCCUCUGUGGACCCUGGGGGAGGAGAGGGCCUUAGAGGGGACCCCACCCCACAUAGGUCCAGUUUCAUGGCUUCUCCCCAUGGUAACUCUGUAGCACCAGCCCCAGGCGGCAGUGCGGUGUGCUGAAUUCAUCAGAACUACAGUUCUCCCUUGGAGCUGCUCUAAGAUCAGAGUAAACGACCUGCAAACGCGUUCUCGGAGACACCGGUGACACCUUCUAUCCGCACAUCUCCUGGCAGGCAGGCUGGUGGCUGCUGCCAGGCACCUUGUACUCGGGGACUCUUCAGUCCUGGCACCACUGGGGUAGUGUCAUCAUCCCGCCCGCCUGACGACAUCCAGACGACCCCGUGAAGGUCAGGCAGCUUCCCGAGGACAUGGCUCGGGGAAGCAGAACCAACAGGGGUGGGUGCGCUGCCAGCCACCUGCCACUCUCACUGCCUGUCUCAUGAGACCCAAAGGUGUCCAGCAGAACCAGGAAGUGCUGAUGUUGGACCCGGAGCACCGGCUUGCAGUCUAGACACUGCCGGCCCAGAGCUGGGAGCAAUCAGGUCAUUCCCAGCUGUGAUCCAACAAAGGGAAAAGCUCUCCACACACCAGCAUUGGCUUUUGUUGUUUGGUUCUUGUUUACUUUGCAGCGGGGGCUGGGGAGAGUCCAGGGUCUUGAGCAAGCUAAGCGGCGGAGUCCUGCUUCUGCACCACACCCAGCCCCGAGCUGUCACUAAGGUCUUGACCCCCUACCCCAGCCCCCAACAUCUGGUCUCUGAGCUGUGUGCACAGCCGGGUGUGUGCCCUUGUGCCUCUCACUCAGAGGUGUGAGCAGGGCUCUGAGCUGUGGACACCCUGCCCGGGGGCUGCUGUGGGGACCUGGGGACGUGCCCUGCAGUGGGCCAGCCUCCAAGGGGUACAGGCGAGGAGGAAGCAGCCCAGGCUGCUGUCCCUGGAGGAGGAGACCUCAAGGAAGCCCAAGUGCUACACACAAAGCCAGAGGACUAGGGGAGGAAGCAAGUGAAGUUGUCAUCACGUUUAUUUCUUUUUUCCUCCCCCAUUUCUGCCAGGGCUUCUCCUACCAUCCUGCUGUCUGACUUCUGAGCCACACACACAUUCCCAGCCCUCCUGUUCCCCUCACCACAGCUUGGCCAGGACCGCUUUGCCACUGCAGAGGACCUCCACGGGAGACGAGGCAGGGCCUGCGUGCGCCGCCUGAGCUCCCACCUGGGGCUCUGAGUACAGAGGGGAGAACCUUCCUUCUGGGGUAUGUGGCACCCCCAUGCCGCCUCACGGCCUCACCUGCCCAGCACUGCACUCCCGUCUGAGCGCUGCGAUCCAGACUUCAACCAAACCAAAACCGAGGCUGCCGUGCGCUGGCCUCUGUGUUGGGGACCCCAAGAGAGCCCUGGGACACGAGGCUGCUGAGGCGAGUGCAGAGGGGACUCUCAUCCAAGGACUCCAGGAGGUCCCUCCUGAAGCCACCUGUCAGGCCCCUCCGCACACCGUGUCAUCCACGUCCCCACAGGAAGCACACAGCACCCUUUGGUGGCAGUUCUCGUGGGACAAGUCCCCAACUCACCACAUUCACUCACGCUGGGACUGUCGGCUCUUCACACAAAAAACCCACCUCAGCCAGGCAUGGGUACACACCUGCAACCCCAGCCCUCUGGAAAGCCGACGCAGGAGGAUCACAACUUUGAGCUAAGACUGACUGUUUACUAACUUAGCAAGACCCAGUCUCAAAAUAAAAAAUAAAAAAGGGUUGUGGAUGUAGCUCAGUGCAUCCACUGUCUGGGUUCAGUUCUCAGUACUACAAAAUAAAUAAGUAAAUAGAUGUGAUAGAUAGAUGGAUGAUAGAUAGAUAGAUAACGGAUGGAUAGACAAGUAGAUAGAUGACCGAUUGACAGAUAAGUAGAUAGAUGAUAGAUAUAGAUAGACAGAGGAAAUCCAGGCCGAAGUGUUCUGUAACUUCCUAUCAAUGUGUAACGCAUGUUCAGAACAGUCCACACUUUCACACAGGGGGUCUGCACAGGGAAAGGGGCACCCACGUCAGGGACAGAAUCUUUCCUGCCCAGAGGUGCUCCCUACGCUCCAGCCCC
rnacentral:lncRNA from 1 species